rnacentral:rRNA from 1 species
UACGGGGGGGGGUAAGCGUUGUUCGGAAUUACUGGGCGUAAAGGGCUCGUAGGCGGCCAACUAAGUCAGACGUGAAAUCCCUCAGCUUAACUGGGGAACUGCGUGUGAUACUGGAUGGCUUGGAUUUGGGAGAGGGAUGCGGAAUUCCAGGUGUAGCGGUGAAAUGCGUAGAUAUCUGGAGGAACACCGGUGGCGAAGGCGGCGUUCUGGACUGUUACUGACACUGAGGAACGAAAGCCAGGGGAGCAAACGGG